UACGUAGGGUGCGAGCGUUAAUCGGAAUUACUGGGCGUAAAGCGUGCGCAGGCGGUCUGUUAAGACCGAUGUGAAAUCCCCAGGCUUAACCUGGGAACUGCAUUGGUGACUGGCAGGCUUUGAGUGUGGCAGAGGGAGGUAGAAUUCCACGUGUAGCAGUGAAAUGCGUAGAGAUGUGGAGGAAUACCGAUGGCGAAGGCAGCCUCCUGGGCCAACACUGACGCUCAUGCACGAAAGCGUGGGGAGCAAACAGG
rnacentral:rRNA from 1 species